GUGUCAGCAGCCGCGGUAAAACGUAGGUACCGAGCGUUAUCCGGAUUCACUGGGCGUAAAGCGCGUGCAGGUGGUUUGGUAAGUCGGGCAUGAAAACUCUUGGCUCAACUGAGAGACGCUGUCCGAUACUGCCGGACUUGAGGGUGUAAGAGGGAGGUGGAAUUCCGCAUGUAGUGGUGAAAUGCGUAGAUAUGCGGAGGAACACCAGUGGCGAAGGCGGCCUCCUGGUACACUCCUGACACUCAGACGCGAAAGCUAGGGGAGCGAACGGGAUUAGAAACCCCCGUAGUCC
rnacentral:rRNA from 1 species